rnacentral:rRNA from 1 species
GGGGAAUCUUGCGCAAUGGACGAAAGUCUGACGCAGCCACGCCGCGUGAGUGAAGAAGGCCUUCGGGUUGUAAAGCUCUGUCGGAGGGGACGAAAAGCUUUUGGGUUAAUAGCCCAGGAGCCUGACGGUACCCUUAAAGGAAGCACCGGCUAACUUCGUGCCAGCAGCCGCGGUAAUACGAGGGGUGCAAGCGUUGCUCGGAAUCAUUGGGCGUAAAGGGUAGGUAGGUGGUCUCAUUUGUCAGAGGUGAAAUCCUUGGGCUCAACCUAAGAAGUGCCUCUGAAACGGUGAGACUAGAGUUCUGGAGAGGGUCGUGGAAUUCCCGGUGUAGCGGUGAAAUGCGUAGAGAUCGGGAGGAACACCAGCGGCGAAGGCGGCGACCUGGACAGGUACUGACACUAAACUACGAAAGCGUGGGGAGCAAAC